CUUGCUUUUGAUUCUUAGUGGCGGACGGGUGAGUAACGCGUGAGAAACCUGCCUGUCAGAGGGGGACAACAGUUGGAAACGACUGCUAAUACCGCAUGAUGCAUAGGGAUCGCAUGAUCUUUAUGCCAAAGAUUUAUCGCUUCAAGAUGGCCUCGCGUCUGAUUAGCUAGUUGGUGGGGUAACGGCCUACCAAGUCGACGAUCAGUAGCCGGACUGAGAGGUUGAACGGCCACAUUGGGACUGAGAUACGGCCCAGACUCC
rnacentral:rRNA from 1 species